rnacentral:miRNA from 1 species
CUCUCAAGGUGGCUGUUAUAUG